AGCAGCCGCGGUAAUUCCAGCUCCAAUAGCGUAUAUUAAAGUUGUUGCAGUUAAAAAGCUCGUAGUUGAAUUUCGAGACCGGUUUACUGGUCGUGCUUUUGUACGUACUGGUAUUAUUGGUUUCUCCUUUCUGACGAAUCUUAAUGCCAUUAAUUUGGUGUUUUGGGGAAUCAGGACUGUUACUUUGAAAAAAUUAGAGUGUUUAAAGCAGGCUCACGCUUGAAUACAUUAGCAUGGAAUAACGAAAUAGGACGUUUGAUUUUAUUUGUUGGUUUCUAGGAUCGACGUAAUGAUUAAUAGGGAUAGUUGGGGCAUUAGUAUUCAAUUGUCAGAGGUGAAAUUCUUGGAUUUAUUGAAGACUAACUACUGCGAAAGCAUUUGCCAAGGAUGUUUUCAUUAAUACAAGAACGAAAGUUAGGGAUCGAAGACGAUCAGAUACCGUCGUAGU
rnacentral:rRNA from 1 species